GUCACCCACGGGCAACGUGCCUCAACACGCCUCUCAGCUAUGAGUGUCAUUGCCAGCGCGGCUACCAGGGUGAUGGCAUCACACACUGUAACCGCACGUGCCUGGAAGACUGUGGCCACGGUGUGUGUAGCGGUCCCCCGGACUUCACUUGCGUGUGUGACCUGGGUUGGACCUCAGAUUUGCCACCACCCACACCUGCCCCAGGACCCCCUGCCCCACGCUGCUCUCGAGACUGUGGCUGCAACUUUCACAGUCAUUGCCGCCGGCGGGGACCUGGCUACUGUGAUGAGUGCCAGGACUGGACAUGGGGGGAACACUGUGAACGGUGCCGGCCUGGCAGCUUUGGCAAUGCAACGGGCUCUGGUGGCUGCCGACCCUGCCAGUGUAACGGGCAUGGAGACCCACGUCGU
rnacentral:lncRNA from 1 species